rnacentral:lncRNA from 1 species
UCUCCUUACAAAUAUGAUUUAAAACACUUCCUUUCAAAAACCAAUAAUUGUAUCUAUUUUUUCUCUAUUUCAAAACUACACAUUCAGUUGCUUUUAUUCCCUCUUCUGUAUAUUUAGAUAUGGAUCAUUUUCUUAAUAUUUACUUGAUAAAAUUACUUAUCAUUUCACCCACAAAAUGGGUUGCCAAGGACUGGUAUUUAUUUCCUUCUCUUCAACAGUUCCUCUUCUUGUCAUGGUCUGAAUUGUAAAGCCCGAUUACAAAUACAGGAGGAAUUUAAAGAGCAGACCUCUAGAACCAAUUGACUCAAUCCUUUUCUGUUCUUUGAACCAUCAUCUCAUUGUCUUCUAUACUUCAGGAUCAUUAGGAACAACUUUACGUAUUUUGCAUUACUUUAUCUCCAGAUUAAAACAUUUUUUGUCUGCAUGUCUCCAUGCAAGCCUUUUUUCAAAUUUGGCAUGAUACAAGGUGUUAAAGAUGACUCACCUCUUUUAACAAAUAGAUUCUUCUUCGCCAUCUCUAUGUGCAAUACCGAUUUUGACUCAGCAUCAAAAACCAUUUCCUAAUACCCCCCAGCAUCAGACAAAAUCAGUGCUUUGAAAAGGAUGACAUAUCUUAGAUGACUAAAUAAAACCG